rnacentral:rRNA from 1 species
AGCAGCCGCGGUAAUUCCAGCUCCAAUAGCGUAUAUUAAAGUUGUUGCAGUUAAAAAGCUCGUAGUUGAAUUUCGGGGUUCUACCGUUGGUCGGGCUUUGUCUGUACUGGCGUGUAGAAUUUCUACCUUCUGGGGAACUAUCAUGUUAUUAAUUUAGCGUGGUAGGAAACCAGGACCUUUACCUUGAAAAAUUAGAGUGUUCAAAGCAGGCUUAUGUCUGAAUACAUUAGCAUGGAAUAAUAAAAUAGGACGGUGGUCCUGUUUUGUUGGUUUCUGAAUCACCGUAAUGAUUAAUAGGGAUAGUUGGGGGCAUUAGUAUUCAAUUGUCAGAGGUGAAAUUCUUGGAUUUAUUGAAGACUAACUACUGCGAAAGCAUUUGCCAAGGAUGUUUUCAUUAAUCAAGAACGAAAGUUAGGGGAUCGAAGACGAUCAGAUACCGUCGUAGUCUUA